rnacentral:lncRNA from 1 species
GAGGGUCAUGGAGCUGGAAGACCCCGGGAGGAGCUGCUGCUGCUGUUCUAGUGUGAGGGUCAUGGAGCUGGAGACCCGGGAAGGAGUCAUUUGAACAGCAGCACUGGCCCCUCCCCAGGUCUCAGGCUCCACGACCCUCAGACUUAAAAAGCCGUAGUACGGGCUUCUCCCUGGGUCUCCAGCUCUACAACCCUCAGACAUGAACAGCAGCACCGGCUCCUCCCCCUGUCUCCCGUUCCAUGACCCUCAAACUACAACAGCAGUACCAGCCUCUACCCAGGUCUCCAGAUCCACGACCCUCAAAAUAGAAUGGCAUCACCAGCUCCUCCCUGGGUCUCCAGCUCCCAAACCCUCAAACUUCAACUGACACAGCAGAUCCUCCCCACAGUUAAACAGCAGCAUGGGCUGUUCCCCAAAACUCCAGAUCCCUCUGACUUAAAUGGCGGUAGCACCAGCUCCUCCCCAGGUCUCCAGUUCCAUGACCCUCAAACUACAACAGCAACACAGGCUCCUCCCUGAAUCUCCAGCUCAACAACUCUCAGACUUGAGAGGCAGCACCGGCAACUCCCCAAGGCUCCAGCUCCACCACCCUCAGAUUUGAACAACCGUAGCACGACCUCCUGACCAGGUCUCCAGCUUCAUGAUCCUUAAACUAGAACAGCAGCACCGCUGCCUCCCUGGGUUUCCAGCUCCACGACCUUAAGACACGAAUGGCAGAACUGGCUCCCCACCAGGGUUCCAGCUUCGGGACCUAUAGAUUUAAAUGACAGCACCGGCUCUUCCCAGGAUCUCCAGCUCCACUCCCCUCAAACUAGAACAGCAGCAUCAGCUCCUCCCUGGCUCUCCAGCUCCCAAACCCUCAAACUUCAACUGACACACAGGAUCCUCCCCACAGUUAAACAGCAGCAUGGGCUGUUCCCCAAAACUCCAGAUCCACAACCUUCUGACUUAAAUGGCGGUAGCACUGGUUCCUCCCUAGAUCUCCAGUUCCAUGAUCCUCAAAUUACACAGCAGCACUGGCUCCUCCACAGGUCUCCAGCUCCACCACCAUCACACUAGACACCAAGACUACCUCUGCCCCUCUCUCCAGCUACACGACCCUCAGACUUGAACACCAGCAGCAGCUCCUUCCUGUACCUCAAGCCCCAUGACCUCGGAUUUGAACAACAACAACACCAGCUCCUGCCUAGGGCUCCAGCUGCAGAACCCACAGAUGUAAACGAUGGCACCGGCUCUUCCCAGGAUCUCCAGCGCCACUACCCUCAAACUAAAACAGCAGCACCAGCUCCUUUCUGGUUCUCCAGUUCCAUAACACUCAGGCAUGAACAGCAGCACCCACUCCUCCUUCCGGCUCAAGAUUCACUACCCUCAGACUAGUACAGCAAAACCGGUUCCUCCCUGGAUCUCCAGCUAAAUGACUCUCAGACUGGAAAGGCAGCACCAGCUCCUCCGUGGAUCUCCGGCUCCACGACACUCAAAACAACACGGCUCCUCCCUGGGUCUGUACCUCCAUGACCCUCAAACUACAACAACACUGCUCCUCCCUGGCUCUGCAGCUCCACCACCCUCAAACUAGAACAAGACUUCUCCUCCCCAGGGUGCCAGCUACCGAACCCUCAAAUUACAACAACAUUGCUCCUCCCUGGGUCUGUAGCUCCAGGACCCUCAGACCAGAACAAGACCUCUCCUCCCUGAGUCUCCAGCUUCCGGACCCUUGAAUUACAACAACAUUGCUCCUGCCUGGGUCUGCAUCUCCACAACCCUCAAAUUAAAACAAGAUCUCUCCUCCCUGGGUCACCAGCUUCGUGACCCUCGAACUAAAACAACAAUGCUCCUGCCUGGGUCUGCAGCUCCACGACCCUGAAACUAGAACAAGACUUCUCCACCCUGAGUCACCAGCUUCCUAACCCACGAACUACAGCAACAUUGCUCCUGCCUGGGUCUGCAGCUCCAUGAACAUCAAACUAGAACAAGACUUCUCCUCCCUGGGUCGCCAGCCUUCUGACACUCAAACUAAAACAACAGUGCUCCUGCCUGGGUCUGCAGCUCCAUGACCCUCAAACGAAAACAAGACCUCUCCUCCCUGGGUCGCCAGCUUCCUCACCCUCAAACUACAACCAAAUGGCUCCUCCCUGGUUCGGAAGCUCCACGACCCUGAAAUUCGAACAAGACUUCUCUUCCCCCGGUUGCCAGUUACCGGAACCUUGAAUUAUACCAAAAUUGCUCCUCCGUGGGUCUGCAGCUCCACGACCCUCAGACCAGAACAAGACCUCGCCUCCCCUGGGUCGCCAGCUUCCUGACCCUCGAAUUACAACCAAAUUGCUCCUCCCUGGGUCGACAGCUCCACGACCCUCAAACUCGAACAAGACUUCUCCUCCCCGGGUUGCCUGCUACCGGACCCUUGAAUUACAACAAAAUUGCUCCUCCCUGGUCCGGCAGCUCCACGAUCUUCAAACUAGAACAAGACCUCUCCUCCCUGGGUCGCCAGUUUCCGGACCCACCAAUUACAACCAAAUUGCUCCUCCCUGGUUCGGCAGCUCCACAACCCUCAAACUAGAACAAGACCUCUCCUCCCUGGGUCUCCAGCUUCCAGACCCUCGAAUGACAACCAAAUUGCUCCUCCCUGGGUCUGCAGCUCCACCACCCUCAAACUAAAACAAGACCUCUCCUCCCUGGGUCACCAGCUUCCUGACCCUCGAACUACAACAAAAUUGCUCCUCCCUGAUCAGCAGCUCCAACAGCCUCAAACUCGAACAAGACUUCUCCUUCCCAGGUUGCCAGCUACCAGACCCUCGAAUUACAACAACAUUGCUCCUCCCUGGGUCUGCAGCUCCACGACCCUCAGACCAGAAGAAGACCUCUCCUCCCCUGGGUCGCCAGCUUCCUGACCCUCGAAUUACAACCAAAUUGCUCCUCCCUGGGUCGGCAGCUCCACGACCCUCAAACUCCAACAACACUUCUCUUCCCUGGGUUGCCAGCUACCGGACCCUUGAAUUACAACAAAAUUGCUCCUCCCUGGGUCUGCAGCUCCACGACCCUCACACCAGAACAAGACCUCUCCUCCCUGGGUCGCCAGCUUUCGGACCCUCCAAUUACAACAACAUUGCUCCUCUCUGGUUCGGCAGCUCCACGACCCUCAAACUACAACAAGACCUCUCCUCCCUGGGUCUCCAGCUUCCAGACCCUCGAAUUACAACAGAAUUGCUCCUCCCUGGGUCUGCAGCUCUACGACCCUCAAACUAGAACAAGACCUCUCCUCCCUGGGUCACCAGCUUCCGGACCCCAGAAUUACAACAACAUUGCUCCUGCCUGGGUCUGCAGUUCCACAACCCUCAAACUAAAACAAGACCUCUCCUCCCUGGGUCGCCAGAUUCCUGACGCACGAAUUACAACAAAAUUGCUCCUCCCUGGUCGGCACCUCCACGAGCCUCAAACUCGAACAAGACUUCUCCUCCCCAGGUUGCCAGCUACCACACCCUCGAAUUACAACAACAUUGCUCCUCCCUGGGUAUGUAGCUCCACGACCCUCAGACCAGAAGAAGACAUCUCUUCCCUUGGUCACCAGCUUCCGGACCCCCCAAUUACAACCAAAUUGCGCCUCCCUGGUUCGGCAGCUCCACGACCCUCAAACUAGAACAAGACCUCUCCUCCCUGGGUAGCCAGCUUCCGGACCCUCGAAUUACAACAGCAUUGCUCCUCCCUAGUUCGGCAGCUCCACGACCCUCAAACUAGAACAAGACCUCUCCUCCCUGGGUCUCCAGCUUCCAGACCCUCGAAUUACAACCAAAUUGCUCCUCCCUGGGUCUGCAGCUCCACCACCCUCAAACUAAAAGAAGACCUCUCCUCCCUGGGUCACCAGCUUCCUGACCCUCGAACUACAACAAAAUUGCUCCUCCCUGAUCAGCAGCUCCACCAGCCUCAAACUCGAACAAGACUUCUCCUUCCCAGGUUGCCAGCUACCAGACCCUCGAAUUACAACAAUAUUGCUCCUCCCUGGGUCUGCAGCUCCAUGACCCUCAGACCAGAAGAAGACCUCUCCUCCCUGGGUCGCCAGCUUCCUGACCCUCGAAUUACAACCAAAUUGCUCCUCCCUGGGUCGGCAGCUCCACGACCCUCAAACUCGAACAAGACUUCUCCUACCCGGGUUGCCAGCUACCGGACCCUUGAAUUACAACAAAAUUGCUCCUCCCUGGGUCUGCAGCUCCACGACCCUCAUACCAGAACAAGACCUCUCCUCCCUGCGUCGCCAGCUUCCUGACCCUCGAAUUACAACCAAAUUGCUCCUCCCUGGGUCGGCAGCUCUACGACCCUCAAACUAGAACAAGACCUCUCCUCCCUGGGUCGCCAGCUUCCGGACCCUUGAAUUACAACAACAUAGCUCCUGCCUGGGUCUGCAGUUCCGCAACCCUCAAACUAAAACAAGACCUCUCCUCCCUGGGACACCAGCUUCCGGACCCUCCAAUUACAACCAAAUUGCUCCUCCCUGGUUCGGCAGCUCCAUGACCCUCAAACCAGAACAAGACCUCUCCUCCCUGGGUCUCCAGCUUCCAGACCCUCGAAUUACAACCAAAUUCCUCCUCCCUGGGUCUGCAGCUCCACCACCCUCAAACUAAAACAAGACCUCUCCUCCCUGGGUCACCAGCUUCCUGACCCUCGAACUACAACAAAAUUGCUCCUCCCUGAUCAGCAGCUCCACCAGCCUCAAACUCGAACAAGACUUCUCCUUCCCAGGUUGCCAGCUACCAGACCCUCGAAUUACAACAACAUUGCUCCUCCCUGGGUCUGCAGCUCCACGACCCUCAUACCAGAACAAGACCUCUCCUCCCCUGGGUCGCCAGCUUCCUGUCCCUCGAAUUACAACCAAAUUGCUCCUCCCUGAUCAGCAGCUCCAGCAGCCUCAAACUCGAACAAGACUUCUCCUCCCGAGGUUGCCAGCUACCAGACCCUCGAAUUACAACAACAUUGCUCCUCAGUGGGUCUGCAGCUCCACGACCCUCAGACCAGAAGAAGACCUCUCCUCCCCUGGGUCGCCAGCUUCCUGACCCUCGAAUUACAACCAAAUUGCUCCUCCCUGGGUCGGCAGCUCCACGACCCUCAAACUCCAACAACACUUCUCUUCCCUGGGUUGCCAGCUACUGGACCCUUGAAUUACAACAAAAUUGCUCCUCCCUGGGUCUGCAGCUCCACGACCCUCAGACCAGAACAAGACCUCUCCUCCCUGGGUCGCCAGCUUCCUGACCCUCGAAUUACAACCAAAUUGCUCCUCCCUGGGUCUGCAGCUCCACGACCCUCAGACCAGAACAAGACCUCUCUCCUCCCUGGGUCUCCAGCUUCCGGACCCUCAAAUUACAACCAAAUUGCUCCUCCCUGGGUCGGCAGCUUCACGACCCUCAAACUCGAACAAGACUUCUCCUACCCGGGUUGCCAGCUACCGGACCCUUGAAUUACAACAAAAUUGCUCCUCCCUGGGUCUGCAGCUCCACGACCCUCAUACCAGAACAAGACCUCUCCUCCCCUGGGUCGCCAGCUUCCUGACCCUCGAAUUAGAACCAAAUUGCUCCUCCCUGGUUCGGCAGCUCCACGACCCUCAAACUACAACAAGACCUCUCCUCCCUGGGUCUCCAGCUUCCAGACCCUCGAAUUACAACAGAAUUGCUCCUCCCUGGGUCUGCAGCUCUACGACCCUCAAACUAGAACAAGACCUCUCCUCCCGGGGUCUCCAGCUUCCGGACCCUUGAAUUACAACAACAUUGCUCCUGCCUGGGUCUGCAGUUCCACAACCCUCAAACUAAAACAAGACCUCUCCUCCCUGGGUCGCCAGAUUCCUGACCCACGAACUACAACAAAAUUGCUCGUCCCUGGUCGGCAGCUCCACGAGCCUCAAACUCGAAGAAGACUUCUCCUCCCCAGGUUGCCAGCUACCACACCCUCGAAUUACAACAACAUUGCUCCUCCCUGGGUAUGUAGCUCCACGACCCUCAGACCAGAACAAGACCUCUCCUCCCUGGGUCGCCAGCUUCCUGACCCUCGAAUUACAACCAAAUUGCUCCUCCCUGGGUCGGCAGCUCCACGACCCUCAGACGAGAACAAGACCUCUCUCCUCCCUGGGUCUCCAGCUUCCGGACCCUCAAAUUACAACCAAAUUGCUCCUCCCUGGGUCGGCAGCUCCACGACCCUCAAACUCCAACAACACUUCUCUUCCCUGGGUUGCCAGCUACCGGACCCUUGAAUUACAACAAAAUUGCUCCUCCCUGGGUCUGCAGCUCCACGACCCUCACACCAGAACAAGACCUCUCCUCCCUGGGUCGCCAGCUUCCGGACCCUCGAAUUACAACAGCAUUGCUCCUCCCUGGUUCGGCAGCUCCACGACCCUCAAACUAGAACAAGACCUCUCCUCCCUGGGUCUCCAGCUUCCAGACCCUCGAAUUACAACCAAAUUGCUCCUCCCUGGGUCUGCAGCUCCACCACCCUCAAACUAAAACAAGACCUCUCCUUCCUGGGUCACCAGCUUCCUGACCCUCGAACUACAACAAAAUUGCUCCUCCCUGAUCAGCAGCUCCACCAGCCUCAAACUCGAACAAGACUUCUCCUCCCCAGGUUGCCAGCUACCAGACCCUCGAAUUACAACAACAUUGCUCCUCCCUGGGUCUGCAGCUCCACGACCCUCAGACCAGAAGAAGACCUCUCCUCCCCUUGGUCGCCAGCUUCCUGACCCUCGAAUUACAACCAAAUUGCUCCUCUCUGGGUCGGCAGCUCCACGACCCUCAAACUCCAACAACACUUCUCUUCCCUGGGUUGCCAGCUACCGGACCCUUGAAUUACAACAAAAUUGCUCCUCCCUGGGUCUGCAGCUCCAUGACCCUCACACCAGAACAAGACCUCUCCUCCCUGGGUCGCCAGAUUUCGGACCCUCCAAUUACAACAACAUUGCUCCUCCCUGGUUCGGCAGCUCCACGACCCUCAAACUACAACAAGACCUCUCCUCCCUGGGUCUCCAGCUUCCAGACCCUCGGAUUACAACAGAAUUGCUCCUCCCUGGGUCUGCAGCUCUACGACCCUCAAACUAGAACAAGACCUCUCCUCCCUGUGUCUCCAGCUUCCGGACCUUUGAAUUACAACAACAUUGCUCCUGCCUGGGUCUGCAGUUCCACAACCCUCAAACUAAAACAAGACCUCUCCUCCCUGGGUCGCCAGAUUCCUGACCCACGAACUACAACAAAAUUGCUCCUCCCUGGUCGGCAGCUCCACGAGCCUCAGACUCCAACAAGACUUCUCCUCCCCAGGUUGCCAGCUACCACACCCUCGAAUUACAACAACAUUGCUCCUCCCUGGGUAUGUAGCUCCACGACCAUCAGACCAGAAGAAGACAUCUCCUCCCUGGGUCACCAGCUUCCGGACCCUCCAAUUACAACCAAAUUGCGCCUCCCUGGUUCGGCAGCUCCACGACCCUCAAACUCGAACAAGACUUCUCCUACCCGGGUUGCCAGCUACCGGACCCUUGAAUUACAACAAAAUUGCUCCUCCCUGGGUCUGCAGCUCCACGACCCUCAUACCAGAACAAGACCUCUCCUCCCUGCGUCGCCAGCUUCCUGACCCUCGAAUUACAACCAAAUUGCUCCUCCAUGGGUCGGCAGCUCUACGACCCUCAAACUAGAACAAGACCUCUCCUCCCUGGGUCGCCAGCUUCCGGACCCUUGAAUUACAACAACAUAGCUCCUGCCUGGGUCUGCAGUUCCGCAACCCUCAAACUAAAACAAGACCUCUCCUCCCUGGGUCACCAGCUUCCGGACCCUCCAAUUACAACCAAAUUGCUCCUCCCUGGUUCGGCAGCUCCAUGACCCUCAAACCAGAACAAGACCUCUCCUCCCUGGGUCUCCAGCUUCCAGACCCUCGAAUUACAACCAAAUUGCUCCUCCCUGGGUCUGCAGCUCCACCACCCUCAAACUAAAACAAGACCUCUCCUCCCUGGGUCACCAGCUUCCUGACCCUCGAACUACAAAAAAAUUGCUCCUCCCUGAUCAGCAGCUCCACCAGCCUCAAACUCGAACAAGACUUCUCCUCCCCAGGUUGCCAGCUACCAGACCCUCGAAUUACAACAACAUUGCUCCUCCCUGGGUCUGCAGCUCCACGACCCUCAGACCAGAAGAAGACCUCUCCUCACCUGGGUCGCCAGCUUCCUGACCCUCGAAUUACAACCAAAUUGCUCCUCCCUGGGUCGGCAGCUCCACGACCCUCAAACUCCAACAACACUUCUCUUCCCUGGGUUGCCAGCUACCGGACCCUUGAAUUACAACAAAAUUGCUCCUCCCUGGGUCUGCAGCUCCACGACCCUCACACCAGAACAAGACCUCUCCUCCCUGGGUCGCCAGCUUUCGGACCCUCCAAUUACAACAACAUUGCUCCUCCCUGGUUCGGCAGCUCCACGACCCUCAAACUACAACAAGACCUCUCCUCCCUCGGUCUCCAGCUUCCAGACCCUCGAAUUACAACAGAAUUGCUCCUCCCUGGGUCUGCAGCUCUACGACCCUCAAACUAGAACAAGACCUCUCCUCCCUGGGUCUCCAGCUUCCGGACUCUCCAAUUACAACCAAAUUGCUCCUCCCUGGGUCGGCAGCUCCACGACCCUCAAACUAGAACAAGACCUCUCCUCCCUGGGUCACCAGCUUCCGGACCCUUGAAUUACAACAACAUUGCUCCUGCCUGGGUCUGCAGUUCCACAACCCUCAAACUAAAACAAGACCUCUCCUCCCUGGGUCGCCAGAUUCCUGACCCACGAACUACAACAAAAUUGCUCCUCCCUGGUCGGCAGCUCCACGAGCCACAAACUCGAACAAGACUUCUCCUCCCCAGGUUGCCAGCUACCACACCCUCGAAUUACAACAACAUUGCUCCUCCCUGGAUAUGUAGCUCCACGACCCUCAGACCAGAACAAGACAUCUCCUCCCUGGGUCACCAGCUUCCGGACCCUCCAAUUACAACCAAAUUGCGCCUCUCUGGUUCGGCAGCUCCACGACCCUCAAACUAGAACAAGACCUCUCCUCCCUGGGUCGCCAGCUUCCGGACCCUCCAAUUACAACAGCAUUGCUCCUCCCUGGUUCGGCAGCUCCACGACCCUCAAACUAGAACAAGACCUCUCCUCCCUGGGUCUCCAGCUUCCAGACCCUCGAAUUACAACAAUAUUGCUCCUCCCUGGGUCUGCACCUCCAACAACCUCAAACUAAAACAAGACCUCUCCUCCCUGGGUCACCAGCUUCCUGACCCUCGAACUACAACAAAAUUGCUCCUCCCUGAUCAGCAGCUCCACCAGCCUAAAACUCGAACAAGACUUCUCCUCCCCAGGUUGCCAGCUACCAGACCCUCGAAUUACAACAACAUUGCUCCUCCCUGGGUCUGCAGCUCCACGACCCUCAGACCAGAAGAAGACCUCUCCUCCCCUGGGUCGCCAGCUUCCUGACCCUCGAAUUACAACCAAAUUGCUCCUCCCUGGGUCGGCAGCUCCACGACCCUCAAACUCCAACAACACUUCUCUUCCCUGGGUUGCCAGCUACUGGACCCUUGAAUUACAACAAAAUUGCUCCUCCCUGGGUCUGCAGCUCCACGACCCUCACACCAGAACAAGACCUCUCCUCCCUGGGUCGCCAGCUUUCGGACCCUCCAAUUACAACAACAUUGCUCCUCCCUGGUUCCGCAGCUCUACGACCCUCAAAUUAGAACAAGACCUCUCCUCCCGGGGUCUCCAGCUUCCGGACCCUUGAAUUACAACAACAUUGCUCCUGCCUGGGUCUGCAGUUCCACAACCCUCAAACUAAAACAAGACCUCUCCUCCCUGGGUCGCCAGAUUCCUGACCCACGAACUACAACAAAAUUGCUCGUCCCUGGUCGGCAACUCCACGAGCCUCAAACUCGAAGAAGACUUCUCCUCCCCAGGUUGCCAGCUACCACACCCUCGAAUUACAACAACAUUGCUCCUCCCUGGGUAUGUAGCUCCAUGACCCUCAGACCAGAACAAGACCUCUCCUCCCUGGGUCGCCAGCUUCCUGACCCUCGAAUUACAACCAAAUUGCUCCUCCCUGGGUCUGCAGCUCCACGACCCUCAGACGAGAACAAGACCUCUCUCCUCCCUGGGUCUCCAGCUUCCGGACCCUCAAAUUACAACCAAACUGCUCCUCCCUGGGUCGGCAGAUCCACGACCCUCAAACUCGAACAAGACUUCUCCUACCCGGGUUGCCAGCUACCGGACCCUUGAAUUACAACAAAAUUGCUCCUCCCUGGGUCUGCAGCUCCACGACCCUCAUACCAGAAGAAGACCUCUCCUCACCUGGGUCGCCAGCUUCCUGACCCUCGAAUUAGAACCAAAUUGCUCCUCCCUGGGUCGGCAGCUCCACGACCCUCAAACUCCAAGAACACUUCUCUUCCCUGGGUUGCCAGCUACCGGACCCUUGAAUUACAACAAAAUUGCUCCUCCCUGGGUCUGCAGCUCCACGACCCUCACACCAGAACAAGACCUCUCCUCCCUGGGUCGCCAGCUUUCGGACCCUCCAAUUACAACAACAUUGCUCCUCCCUGGUUCGGCAGCUCCACGACCCUCAAACUACAACAAGACCUCUCCUCCCUGGGUCUCCAGCUUCCAGACCCUCGAAUUACAACAGAAUUGCUCCUCCCUGGGUCUUCAGCUCUACGACCCUAAAACUAGAACAAGACCUCUCCUCCCUGGGUCUCCAGCUUCCGGACCCUCCAAUUACAACCAAAUUGCUCCUCCCUGGGUCGGCAGCUCCACGACCCUCAAACUAGAACAAGACCUCUCCUCCCUGGGUCACCAGCUUCCGGACCCUUGAAUUACAACAACAUUGCUCCUGCCUGGGUCUGCAGUUCCACAACCCUCAAACUAAAGCAAGACCUCUCCUCCCUGGGUCGCCAGAUUCCUGACCCACAAACUACAACAAAAUUGCUCCUCCCUGGUCGGCAGCUCCACGAGCCUCAAACUCGAACAAGACUUCUCCUCCCCAGGUUGCCAGCUACCACACCCUCGAAUUACAACAACAUUGCUCCUCCCUGGGUAUGUAGCUCCACGACACUCAGACCAGAACAAGACAUCUCCUCCCUGGGUCACCAGCUUCCGGACCCUCCAAUUACAACCAAAUUGCGCCUCCCUGGUUCGGCAGCUCCACGACCCUCAAACUAGAACAAGACCUCUCCUCCCUCGGUCGCCAGCUUCCGGACCCUCGAAUUACAACAGCAUUGCUCCUCCCUGGUUCGGCAGCUCCACGACCCUCAAACUAGAACAAGACCUCUCCUCCCUGGGUCUCCAGCUUCCAGACCCUCGAAUUACAACCAAAUUGCUCCUCCCUGGGUCUGCAGCUCCACCACCCUCAAACUAAGACAAGACCUCUCCUUCCUGGGUCACCAGCUUCCUGACCCUCGAACUACAACAAAAUUGCUCCUCCCUGAUCAGCAGCUCCACCAGCCUCAAACUCGAACAAGACUUCUACUUCCCAGGUUGCCAGCUACCAGACCCUCGAAUUACAACAACAUUGCUCCUCCCUGGGUCUGCAGCUCCACGACCCUCAGACCAGAAGAAGACCUCUCCUCCCCUGGGUCGCCAGCUUCCUGACCCUCGAAUUACAACCAAAUUGCUCCUCCCUGGGUCGGCAGCUCCAUGACCCUCAAACUCCAACAACACUUCUCUUCCCUGGUUUGCCAGCUACCGGACCCUUGAAUUACAACAAAAUUGCUCCUCCCUGGGUCUGCAGCUCCACGACCCUCACACCAGAACAAGACCUCUCCUCCCUGGGUCGCCAGCUUUCCGACCCUCCAAUUACAACAACAUUGCUCCUCCCUGGUUCGGCAGCUCCACGACCCUCAAACUAGAACAAGACCUCUCCUCCCUCGGUCUCCAGCUUCCAGACCCUCGAAUUACAACAAUAUUGCUCCUCCCUGGGUCUGCAGCUCCAUGACCCUCAGACCAGAAGAAGACCUCUCCUCCCUGGGUCGCCAGCUUCCUGACCCUCGAAUUACAACCAAAUUGCUCCUCCCUGGGUCGGCAGCUCCACGACCCUCAAACUAGAACAAGACCUCUCCUCCCUGGGUCGCCAGCUUCCAGACCCUUGAAUUACAACAACAUAGCUCCUGCCUGGGUCUGCAGUUCCGCAACCCUCAAACUAAAACAAGACCUCUCCUCCCUGGGUCACCAGCUUCCGGACCCUCCAAUUACAACCAAAUUGCUCCUCCCUGGUUCGGCAGCUCCAUGACCCUCAAACCAGAACAAGACCUCUCCUCCCUGGGUCUCCAGCUUCCAGACCCUCGAAUUACAACCAAAUUGCUCCUCCCUGGGUCUGCAGCUCCACCACCCUCAAACUAAAACAAGACCUCUCCUCCCUGGGUCACCAGCUUCCUGACCCUCGAACUACAACAAAAUUGCUCCUCCCUGAUCAGCAGCUCCAGCAGCCUCAAACUCGAACAAGACUUCUCCUUCCCAGGUUGCCAGCUACCAGACCCUCGAAUUACAACAACAUUGCUCCUCCCUGGGUCUGCAGCUCCACGACCCUCAGACCAGAAGAAGACCUCUCCUCACCUGGGUCGCCAGCUUCCUGACCCUCGAAUUACAACCAAAUUGCUCCUCCCUGGGUCGGCAGCUCCACGACCCUCAAACUCCAACAACACUUCUCUUCCCUGGGUUGCCAGCUACCGGACCCUUGAAUUACAACAAAAUUGCUCCUCCCUGGGUCUGCAGCUCCACGACCCUCACACCAGAACAAGGCCUCUCCUCCCUGGGUCGCCAGCUUUCGGACCCUCCAAUUAAAACAACAUUGCUCCUCCCUGGUUCGGCAGCUCCACGACCCUCAAACUACAACAAGACCUCUCCUCCCUCGGUCUCCAGCUUCCAGACCCUCGAAUUACAACAGAAUUGCUCCUCCCUGGGUCUGCAGCUCUACGACCCUCAAACUAGAACAAGACCUCUCCUCCCUGGGUCUCCAGCUUCCGGACUCUCCAAUUACAACCAAAUUGCUCCUCCCUGGGUCGGCAGCUCCACGACCCUCAAACUAGAACAAGACCUCUCCUCCCUGGGUCACCAGCUUCCGGACCCUUGAAUUACAACAACAUUGCUCCUGCCUGGGUCUGCAGUUCCACAACCCUCAAACUAAAGACCUCUCCUCCCUGGGUCGCCAGAUUCCUGACCCACGAACUACAACAAAAUUGCUCCUCCCUGGUCGGCAGCUCCACGAGCCUCAAACUCGAACAAGACUUCUCCUCCCCAGGUUGCCAGCUACCACACCCUCGAAUUACAACAACAUUGCUCCUCCCUGGGUAUGUAGCUCCACGACCCUCAGACCAGAACAAGACAUCUCCUCCGUGGGUCACCAGCUUCCGGACCCUCCAAUUACAACCAAAUUGCGCCUCCCUGGUUCGGCAGCUCCACGACCCUCAAACUAAAACAAGACUUCUCCUCCCUGGUUCGGCAGCUCCACGACCCUCAAACUAGAACAAGACCUCUCCUCCCUGGGUCUCCAGCUUCCAGACCCUCGAAUUACAACCAAAUUGCUCCUCCCUGGGUCUGCAGCUCCACCACCCUCAAACUAAAACAAGACCUCUCCUCCCUGGGUCACCAGCUUCCUGACCCUCGAACUACAACAAAAUUGCUCCUCCCUGAUCAGCAGCUCCACCAGCCUCAAACUCGAACAAGACUUCUCCUCCCCAGGUUGCCAGCUACCAGACCCUCGAAUUACAACAACAUUGCUCCUCCCUGGUUCGGCAGCUCCACGACCCUCAAACUAGAACAAGACCUCUCCUCCCUGGGUCUCCAGCUUCCAGACCCUCGAAUUACAACAAAAUUGCUCCUCCCUGGGUCUGCAGCUCCAUGACCCUCAGACCAGAACAAGACCUCUCCUCCACUGGGUCGCCAGCUUCCUGAUCCUCGAAUUACAACAAAAUUGCUCCUCCCUGGGUCGGCAGCUCCACGACCCUCAAACUAGAACAAGACCUCUCCUCCCUGGGUCGCCAGCUUCCUGACCCUCAAAUUACAACAAAAUUGCUCCUCCCUGGGUCUGUGGCUCCACAACCCUCAGACCAGAACAAGAUCUCUCUCCUCCCUGGGUCUCCAGCUUCUGGACCCUCAAAUUACAACCAAAUUGCUCCUCCCUGGGUCGGCAGCUCCACGACCCUCAAACUCGAACAAGACUUCUCCUCCCCGGGUUGCCAGCUACCGGACCCUCGAACUACAGCAACAUUGCUCCUGCCUGGGUCUGCAGCUCCACGAAAAUCAAACUAGAACAAGACCUCUCCUCCCUGGGUCGCCAGCUUUCUGACCCUCGAACUACAGCAAUGUUGCUCCUGCCUGGGUCUGCACUCCACAACCCUCAAACUAGAACAGCAGCACCAGCUGCUUCCUGGACUUCCAGCUCAAUGACUCUCACACUUCAAUGGCAGCAAUGGCUCCACCCCCAGGCUCCAGCUCCAACACCCUCAGAUCUGAGCAGCGGCAGCACCAGCUCCUUUCUGGGUCUUCUGUUUCACGAUCCUUAAAUUAGAACAGCAGCACCAUCUUCUCCCUGGGUCUCCAGCUCCACGAAACUCAAGCUAGAAUAGCAGCACCGGCUCCUCUGGGAUCUUCAGCUCCACGACCCUAAGACAUCAGUGGCAGCACUGGCUCCUCCCCUGGGCUCCAGCUCCAGGACCCUCAAACUUGAACAGAAACACCAGCUCCUCCCCAGGCCUCCAGCUCCUUGACCCUCAUAAACAAUCCCUUCUUAUGAAAUGUAGCAGUCAGGAAAACUGUAGAGGAAGUAAAUAAAUAAAUGGUUUCCUUUCAAAUUGAUGUUUCUUUUCUGUUCACGCAAGUCAGGAAACUUUUCUACUUUCCAUCAACCUUGCAACCUACUUGCAUUCAAUUGUAAGAUGGAAAUCCAUCAUUUGAAAUAACCUUUAAAAACUUAGUAGUUCUUUUUUACUAUGAUCUUAUCUCACAGCUCUAGAAACGAUCUUUCACUUUGCCUGUGCAGAAGUCUUGUGAACAUUCAAACUAUGAAUUUACUUGGUUGAGAUUCCUAGAAUACACAUUAUCCCCAGAUGUUCCUGCCCUCCUUAAAAUCUUCUAACAAGUUCC